rnacentral:rRNA from 1 species
GGGGAAUAUUGCACAAUGGAGGAAACUCUGAUGCAGCAACGCCGCGUGGAGGAUGAAGGUUUUCGGAUUGUAAACUCCUGUCUUUUGGGACGAUAAUGACGGUACCAAAAGAGGAAGCCACGGCUAACUACGUGCCAGCAGCCGCGGUAAUACGUAGGUGGCGAGCGUUGUCCGGAAUUACUGGGCGUAAAGGGCGCGUAGGCGGCCUGUUAAGUCAGAUGUGAAACCCCCAGGCUCAACUUGGGGAUUGCAUAUGAAACUGAUGGGCUCGAGUGUCGGAGAGGAAAGCGGAAUUCCUAGUGUAGCGGUGAAAUGCGUAGAUAUUAGGAGGAACACCAGUGGCGAAGGCGGCUUUCUGGACGAUAACUGACGCUGAGGCGCGAAAGCGUGGGGAGCAAAC